GCACCAACCAUUUUUUAUUCCAUUAAUUAAUUGUCACAUACACUCUGUUCCAAGCAUAACCACCAGGACACCAUACAUCAGGUUCACAAAAAUGACAGCUAAAAGAUGCUAGUAUGAGACGUGAGUUGUACAAAAUGAAGGCUAAAUAUCCAAGUGACACGCAUCGCUGGCUUCAUGGUUCCUUGUGAGUGUUCUCCUUUUGUUUGAGUGUUGUCCUUUUCUUUGCUUCCUAC
rnacentral:lncRNA from 1 species